rnacentral:rRNA from 1 species
GACGAACGCUGGCGGCGUGCCUAAUACAUGCAAGUCGAACGAUAACGGCUGGUACUUGUACCAACCGGUUUAGCAGCGAACGGGUGAGUAACGCGUGGGUAACCUGCCUAUCAGAGGGGGAUAACAUUCGGAAACGAAUGCUAAUACCGCAUAAGUACUCGAACCACAAGUUUUAAGGUUGAAAAAUGCAAUUGGAUCAUGCAAAGAGAUGGCCGCGCUGUAUUAGCUAGUUGGUGAGGUAUAGGCUCACCACGGCGGUGAUACAUAGCCGACCUGAGAGGGUGAUCGGCCACAUUGGGACUGAGACACGGCCCAAACUCCUACGGGAGGCAGCAGUAGGGAAUCUUCCGCAAUGGACGAAAGUCUGACGGAGCAACGCCGCGUGAGUGAAGAAGGUUUUCGGAUCGUAAAACUCUGUUGGUAGAGAAGAACGUGUGUGAGAGUGGCAGGCAGAUCAAGGGAGGGAACCAACCAAGAAGGGACGGGUAAAUUAGUG